rnacentral:lncRNA from 1 species
CCGCAAACAUACACUGCUCUAAGAAAAGGAAGUAGGUAAUGCAUGACAAGGGGAGGGGGCACUGGCUGAAGGUGAAUAAAGGGGAGCUGUUUCUGCACAAUAAGGCACAAACGACUUAAGCAGCCUGAGUGCAACACAAUAAAGAAAAGCUCCUAAACCAUAGAAACUACCAACAACCUUCUAAGAACAUGGCAUCCAACUCCUCCAACCAAUCCGACUUUGAGGACAGGGACCUGACUCAAAGCGACCCCCAGGAGGAGGAAAACCCAGCGAAGUGCGACAGGGAUGGAGCCAGGACCAGGGGAGGAUGGAACCAUCGGUGCGAGGGUUGUACUAGCAUAACCAGAGGAAAAAUAAUUAGAGAUACCAGACGUGGGUAUAGGUCUUUUACAUACGUUUGUAAAGCUUGCUUUUGUAGUGCAACAAGUAAUAAGUAUAAGUACUGUACAUAUGCAGAAGAUGAAACAGAGGACUGGCCCAAAGAUGGGUCAUAUGUAAACAUUCUAUUUAUGGCAGAAUAACUGCUAGAUCCGUAACAGAGGACAGUCAGUACCUCAAGAGUAGGUAUUGGUUGAAGAUGGAAGACGGGCAGGAGGUUAGCUAUGGCAUGAUACAGAGAAUAGAUGGGCUAAUGUUAGGGCUAUGCUAUGAUGGGGGAAUAAUGAGGCGAGGAACUAAGAGAAAGGAGUGUUCAGAUGCUGGAGAGGGUGUGACAAGAGAUGAAAAGAAUCUGCCCACUCCAUCAAGCAAUGGGGACAACAACACAGGACAUUCAUGGGAGUCACUCAGUGAGACAUCAGGUACAGAUGUGAUUGGCAAUACAAGGAAACAGCAAAGUAACAGUUACAAUAUAUUGAGUCCAUACACAGAGUUGGAAGUGUAUUAAGAUAUUAGAAUUGGGAAUCUAGCGUUAGUGCUGUGAGAAUACCGAUUACAGGAAAGUGACCAAGGGGCUGAGCAUUUAAGGUAAUUGAACUAUUUUUGCUAUUUAGUCAAUAUUGUUAGAAGUGUUAACGCAUUUAAAGUUUUGCAAUAUUAUCUGGCAUAGCUUAAAGCAUUAAGGAUUGAUUGAGCAUUAUUGAUGUAUUAGGAAACUGUAGAACCAUUGAAUUGUAAUGAUGUGUAUAAGACAAAAAACAGAGUGACUUAAUAAAAGCUUGAAACUUUGACAACUAGGCCAGAUUAACGAUGCAAACGCCUUUGACACUCUCACUGAACAGAAAGUGACCCUGGUUAUAGGUUAAAGUGAUCGCACUAAAGAAUAUUUCAUUGUGUGGACAAUAAUAUAUUUUUAAGAGAGUCAAAACAUAUACCAAUACUAGUUUCCGAGUGACUACUAGCUGACGACCAUAAUAACUACUAAGAGUUGUUAUUAGGUAUUGAUAUAUACAUAGGUAAAGAUAACUUGAGGGUAAGGAAAUAUAGGAGGAAUCCAUAACACUUAGAAUAUUUAAAUAGGAGUAUAUCUAUCCAAGGCCUCAUACUAGACCGGAAAAUAAGGGAGUGACAACGUGAACGAAGGA